rnacentral:lncRNA from 1 species
UAAGGUGCCCAAUUGAACACCAUCCCUUCAAGUGCUCCUACAGCUGCAUACAACAAACAUUUGGAUAUAUAUGUGGGAUGUCGAUACAAUCCUAACUGCCUCAUCACAAAAUCGAACCAUUUUACAAGUUUCGGUGAAAUUGCCUCACUAGUCUACGAACCUUGGCUCAUUUUAAAGGCCGACAUAUCUCCCUUGAAAUAUCUUCCUAUGAAUUUUGUUCUCUCUAGAGAGGCACUGGCUUUGCACUUUCAAUUGCCAUGAUGUUUCUUCAUUGAAACUCUUAACUGAAACUACUACUCUCGAAUAUACAAAAAACAUAAGAAAUGGAAAUUUCAGAAAAAAACAACCCAAAACAAUAUCAUAGAAUGAUCUCUAACUGAUGCCUCACUUUUAUUCUCUUAUUACCUAGUGAUAAUGACAAUAUGUUACCCAUACUGUCCGUUUCUCACUUCUAUCCCAUCUGACA